AAACUAAAUCCCCCAAAAUUUUGAACACCCGCUUCCUCUUCCUCUCUACUCUCUACACCCGCCAAAUCAACUUCAUUCUCUCCCUUCUUUCUCUCUGCAAACCCCUUCUUCUCCGAUCGACUUUCACUUCCUUCUAUGUGCAAACCCUAAUCAAACAUAACACAUUUGAAAUAGUAAUAUCUUCUUUCAUUUUCUCCCCUACUACUCUCUGUAAAACCUAGCAGCCGCCACCACUAGAAACAUGGAAAAUCCCCCAAAAUUUUGAAGUACCCCGCUCACUCCUCUCAAUAUCUCUUGCGCUUUCGUAUUUAUAGCCAGAGUUGGAGAGCGAAAAGAAGAAAGAAGAAAGAAAUGAUGUGAGGGUGUGAGGUGGCGUUCAAAGGUUGUCAAGGGGUUGUGAGGAGCUAUAGGGCUCAAGUUCGAGGUUGAAGAUUAGAAACCGAAGGUUGAAGAUCAGAUUUGGGAUUAGAUGAGUCGCUGGUACAACUGACGUCGUCGUGGUGUAGGUCAGAUGAGUCGCCGGAGUCCAGGCCAAGUAACAGUGUCGCUGGAGUUUCGGGAAGCUAACGAUGUCAUCAAUUCGAGUGCAGGUGAUGUGCCGAUUAUUGAUUUUGGAUCAAUUACUAACUGUUUGCCAUUUUCUUUCUAGAAAAUCAAUGUAGUGUCUGCUUCUUAAUCUUGUUCUCUAUGAGUACCAUUGUUACCGUCUCUGGUAAAAACAUCUAACCAUAUGCCAGAUUCGUUGAUUCAGGCUACAAAAGUACCUGUUAAAGAGUAUGAGUUUGAUGAAAAGAAGAUGGCAAAUGUGCAGUCUCAUCUGGAAAAAUUGGUUGCCAAUAACUAUUACUUGAACAGGUCUCCAAAAGAUGCGUACAGAUAAAUAUAUUAUUCAUGAAGUGAAGGCAAGAAUAGUUGAAUGGACAAGGGCAGGCUGGUCAAGACUGGAAGCUUUACA